rnacentral:tRNA from 1 species
GUGGGCGUAGCUCAGUCCGGUUAGAGCACUGGAUUGUGGCUCCAGUGGUCGUGGGUUCAAAUCCCAUCGCUCACCCCA